AGAGCGAACGCUGGCGGCAGGCCUAACACAUGCAAGUCGAACGGAUCCUUCGGGAUUAGUGGCGGACGGGUGAGUAACACGUGGGAACGUGCCCUUUGGUUCGGAACAACUCAGGGAAACUUGAGCUAAUACCGGAUGUGCCCUUCGGGGGAAAGAUUUAUCGCCAUUGGAGCGGCCCGCGUCUGAUUAGCUAGUUGGUGAGGUAAAGGCUCACCAAGGCUACGAUCAGUAGCUGGUCUGAGAGGAUGAUCAGCCACAUUGGGACUGAGACACGGCCCAAACUCCUACGGGAGGCAGCAGUGGGGAAUCUUGCGCAAUGGGCGAAAGCCUGACGCAGCCAUGCCGCGUGAAUGAUGAAGGUCUUAGGAUUGUAAAAUCCUUUCAGCGGGACGAUAAUGACGGUACCCGCAGAAGAGCCCGGCUAACUUCGCGCCAGCAACCGC
rnacentral:rRNA from 1 species